GCAUCAAGUUGCUUCGGGGACCAGUUGCAGCAGAGUCACUGACAAUAUGCUUCUAAACGUGUGAAUCUUGGCGUCCCAGUCAAGACUUCAUUGCUAUCUCCUCACCAGACUAUUUGUUCAUCAUCAUCUGGCAUCUAGCCCAUGCAGAGUGAGACAAGCCAAUGUGGUUUGUGUUCUGUCAAAGUCAACAAUCUAAUCGAAGAAUUUAGAGAGACAAACAUCUUGUUCCUUUUCAUCCAAAAUCUUCAAGUAAGGGCAGUGGUACAAAGGACUGAGUUUUUAGGCCGGGAUGAGGAUGAACAAUAAGACAAAUCGUUGCCUUCUUCGCAUCGGCUGCAGUUCUCCCAGUUUCCUGAUACCAUUCCACUUCAUAGAGUAAUUUAUCAUUUUUGAAGAGAAAAAUCACAUCCUGACAAUGAUGUCCCACAGAGGCAAAGUUCUGACCCCCUUUUGACAUUGAGGUACCGAAGAGUCCAUGAUCAGAUGCACAGCUUUAAAUAUAAAUGGUACUGACCAGCCAAAACUGGGGCUAUUCUGAAGUGACACAAACACAUUGGCUUGACACCAUUUAUGGAUCCACAAAUAUUUAAUUUGGACUGGUUCAGGCAAGAAACCUUUCAGCUCUACGACACUGAAGAACAAUCCACACCUGGGAUAUCAUAUGAUUUUUCACAUGUAUGUUAUCAGUUUUGCAAAUAUUUAAACAAGCCUGUGAAACUACAGAGGGGAAGGUAAAAAAGCUGUGAGACAUUUUGUGCAGCCAUCUUUCUCUUGAGAAUGAAUAUGAAUUGUCAACAGCAUUUUAUUUAAAAAGAAUUGUUCAUUAUACUGAA